ACUUUGUAUUUCAUUUCUUGGAUGUAAAGGUUAAACCUUUCAGUUCCUUGUUUGAUCUAAAAUGUAUGUUACUUCUUCAGGAAAGACAGAUUUGGCGGCUGUAGAACAUCAAAUCUCCAGUGUAGCCUGUCCGCCUGGCCUCAGCGUGGCUCAAACUGCUCCACUUUCUUUUUGGGUCACCUCAGAGAGCCACAGCUUUUCAAUGACUGACACAGAUUGAAAAGCCCAAAGCGAGAAACCAUCAAUCUGCCUUUUUUCAAUCUACUUUGUUUUCUGUCCACUAAAUAUAUCACCAACCCAGAAAAGCCAGAUACGUGUCACGCGGAGAGCUGCCGUAAGAAGGAUGACACUCACUCAUCGCUUGGAAAACUCAUACAUACAGGGCAAAGGCACAGCACUUGUUGCCAUAGCGAUGUCCCUGAGGCACAACACAAUUUUUAGACUUCACUGCUGUAGGCUGUGUGGCAGCUCUGAUGAACUGCUCUCAUAAAACAGAGACAAUCUCUCGAAUGCCAAGAGUUCUUACAACACAAAAGUACAGGACGGUGUAGUGCUCAUCGUUGACGGCGAGGGUAAUGUCCGCCAGCGUGUGCGUGAUUUCUUCGUCAGUGGGGAGGUCGAGUGGAGCCACGCCGACGGGCCGGAUCACGUCCUCAAUCUCCGGGUUGUAUCUGAUCACCCCGAGGUUUUUGAUCAGAUUUUGCUCUGAGAUUGUACCUUUGCGGGUGCACUACCAAGACAAAAGGAAUUAUUUGUUCAGAGCCAGCCGGGCUGUUGAGUGAAGGAGGCAACAAAGAGUUUGCUAAUCUCUUUCAUUAACUCGUGCCUUUGAAAAACAAACAUGUGAUUAAUUUAGUCUUUUUUUGGCAUAUGAUUAUAGGCUGACUCAUGCAGAUGUACAUGUUCUUCCAGCACGAAAACAAGGAGAGUAUUUUUACCAUUCCGGGGCGAUUGCCUGACAAUGGGCUGCUGUAGCCUUUCAGUUUAGAGGUGGAGAAGGCUUUGUUGAUGUCUUCAAUGGAGUAGGCACAAAUCACCUUUUUUCCCCUUUAAGAAAAAGAGCAGAACACAAAUAUCAUACUUGUAAAAUAAGGAGAAAUCUUUGCUCAUUGCUAAAAAUUAGUGUAAUUUAUUGUCUGUCAUAUUCAUUGCUCAAUAAAACCUAAUUGUGCAGUUACUGAGGAUUAUUUGUCCCACAUUUUCACUCAAAGACUAAAUUCAAGAAGUUUUGCUUCAAAAUUAAAAAAAAAAAAAUCACAAAUAGAAACUGCAAAAAACUUUACAAAACAAUUAAAAGUAUUUUAAAUGCAACUCAAUAUUUUGUUUUAAUCCAAUAUAAGGUUACCGACAACUUAUUUAAACAUUAAAUAUUCUUUUCAAAUAAAGUUUUAACAAUUUAAUCGAUUCAAAUAUGUAUUUCCAGAUGAUUUGGACACCAGAUUUUGAUUAAACCAAGCCGAACGGCACUAAAACAAAGAUAAAGAAAACUGUACUGCAGCUUACCACGCGUUGGAAAAAAGGCCGUACAUGAUUCCAGCCCUCUGCUCCUGGGCUGUCACCACCACUGCCUGCUUCAAAUUGUUGUACUGCUGCUGAGUGUUUCCUGCACCACACAUCACUCGCGCCUUCAUGAAGGUCGUCCAUGAGUUUGGUAGCAGCUGCAUGAUGCCGCCUUCAUCCACCUGGAAAUGAUGUGGAGGAGCGGUUAUCAGGGGAUGCCACACAUUUUUAGUGAAGUUUCUUUUCUGCAAUCUUGAUGGGACUGUUUUAUUUUGAGCUUGAUUAAAAAUGAAUUUAUUAAAAAGGAAUCUCAAUGUUUUUGAGCAAUAAGAUCAGCUGGAAGGGCCUGUGAAUGUUCAAAUCACAUUUAGUGUUUAUAAAAGUGUAGAUUGGAGAAUAAUGAGCAUUCAGGCUAAAAAGCAAAAUUCUCUUUGUAAUAAAUUGGUCAGAGAUUUUUAAAUUUCUGAAGUUAUCAUUUGGAAUUUAGAUUAUUCGGGUUCAGAGACACAAAAUACAAUCAGUAAAGUAAUAUGCAAUAACUACUGAGCCUGCAAAGAAUUGUCUGGAAUAUAUUAUUGCUAUGAAUCAUUUUGAUUCCUCAGCCUCCAUAUUUGAAAAAAUAAAUGACAGUAAUUUUCUCGCCUCCCCAGUUUAAGAUUAACACUUGCAGAGGAGUCCCUGGAUGAUUCUGAACACACUGCAACAAAGUGACAGUAAAGGAAGUAAAUAUUUAAAAUGAUCCAAUAAAAAGAAAAAAAAUCAAAUGAAAAAAA